rnacentral:rRNA from 1 species
GGUCAAGCUACAAAGGGCGCAUGGUGAAUCUCCGAAUGAGGAAACUCACAUGGGAAACCCCAUGUAUCAUUAAGUGAAUACAUAGCUUAAUGAAGGUAACCCAGGGAACUGAAACAUCUAAGUACCUGGAGGAAGAGAAAGAAAAAUCGAUUUUCUUAGUAGCGGCGAGCGAAAGGGAAAGAGCCCAAACCGGAAACUUGUUUCCGGGGUUGUGGACAUAACAUAAAAGUGGAGGCUAUUGUAACUGAAGAGAACUGGAAAGUUCCACCGUAGAAGGUAAUAGUCCUGUAAGUGAAACGAGAAGACCACGAGUUAUGAUCCAGAGUACCACGAGACACGUGAAACCUUGUGGGAAGCAGGGAGGACCACCUCCCAAGGCUAAAUACUACCUGAUGACCGAUAGUGAAGCAGUACCGUGAGGGAAAGGUGAAAAGAACCCCGGGAGGGGAGUGAAAUAGAACCUGAAACCGUGUGCCUACAACCGCUCAGAGCCCCUUAUGAGGGUGAUGAGGUGCUUUUUGUAGAACGAGCCAACGAGUUACGGUAUGUAGCAAGGUUAAGUACUUAAGGUACGGAGCCGAAGGGAAACCGAGUCUGAAUAGGGCGACUAGUUGCAUGCCGUAGACCCGAAACCGGGUGACCUAUCCAUGGCCAGGUUGAAGCGAGGGUAAAACCUCGUGGAGGACCGAACCACGUUGCUGUUGAAAAAGCAUGGGAUGAGCUGUGGAUAGCGGAGAAAUUCCAAUCGAACCCGGAGAUAGCUGGUUCUCUCCGAAAUAGCUUUAGGGCUAGCGUCGAGUAUGAGUAGUGGAGGUAGAGCACUGAAUGGGCUAGGGGGCAUAGCGCUUACCGAACCUUAUCAAACUCCGAAUGCCACAUACUUUGAGCUCGGCAGUCAGACUACGAAUGAUAAGAUCCGUGGUCAAAAGGGAAACAGCCCAGAUCGUCAGCUAAGGUCCCAAAGUGUAAGUUAAGUGGGAAAGGAUGUGAGAUUUCUAAGACAACUAGGAUGUUGGCUUAGAAGCAGCCAUUCAUUAAAAGAGUGCGUAAUAGCUCACUAGUCGAGAGAUCUUGCGCCGAAAAUGUAACGGGGCUAAACUUACCACCGAAGCUACGGGCUUGAACUUAGUUCAAGCGGUAGGAGAGCGUCGUAACCGGGCUGAAGUCGUACCGUAAGGAGCGGUGGACUGGUUACGAGUGAGAAUGUUGGCAUCAGUAGCGAGAUGUGGGUGAGAAUCCCACAGGCCGAAAACCUAAGGUUUCCUCAGGAAGGUUCGUCCGCUGAGGGUUAGUCGGGACCUAAGCCGAGGCCGAAAGGCGUAGGUGAUGGACAACUGGUUGAUAUUCCAGUACCACUACCAUCGUUAUUAUCGAUGGCGUGACGCAGGAGGAUAGUGUGUGCUAGCUAUUGGAUGCUAGUCUAAGCGUUUAGGCAGUGAGAGUAGGCAAAUCCGCUCUCAUAAUGCUGAGGCGUGAUGGGGAAGGUUCCACGGAACCGAAGUACAUGAUUCCACGCUGCCAAGAAAAGCGUCUAGAGAGAGAAGUAGUGCCCGUACCGCAAACCGACACAGGUAGGUGAGGAGAGAAUCCUAAGGCCGGCGGAAGAAUUACAGUUAAGGAACUCGGCAAAUUGACCCCGUAAGUUCGCGAGAAGGGGUGCCUACGAGAGUAGGCCGCAGAGAAUAGGCCCAAGCAACUGUUUAGCAAAAACACAGGUCUCUGCUAAAGCGUAAGCUGAUGUAUAGGGGCUGACGCCUGCCCGGUGCUGGAAGGUUAAGGGGAACACUUAGCGCAAGCGAAGGUGUGAACUUAAGCCCCAGUAAACGGCGGCCGUAACUAUAACGGUCCUAAGGUAGCGAAAUUCCUUGUCAGGUAAGUUCUGACCCGCACGAAUGGCGUAAUGACUUGGGCACUGUCUCAACUGUAAAUCCGGCGAAGUUGUAGUGCGAGUGAAGAUGCUCGCUACCCGCGAUUGGACGGAAAGACCCCGUAGAGCUUUACUGUAGCUUAGCAUUGAGUUUUGGUAUUGUCUGUACAGGAUAGGUGGGAGACUAGGAAACCAGGGCGUCAGCCUUGGUGGAGUCAACCUUGGGAUACCACCCUGACAGUACUGAAAUUCUAACUGGCGGCCAUGAAUCUGGUCACAGGACAUUGUUAGGUGGGCAGUUUGACUGGGGCGGUCGCCUCCUAAAAAGUAACGGAGGCGCCCAAAGGUUCCCUCAGAACGGUCGGAAAUCGUUCGAAGAGUGCAAAGGCAGAAGGGAGCCUGACUGCGACACCCACAAGUGGAGCAGGGACGAAAGUCGGGCUUAGUGAUCCGGUGGUACCUCGUGGGAGGGCCAUCGCUCAACGGAUAAAAGCUACCUCGGGGAUAACAGGCUGAUCUCCCCCAAGAGUCCACAUCGACGGGGAGGUUUGGCACCUCGAUGUCGGCUCGUCGCAUCCUGGGGCUGAAGUAGGUCCCAAGGGUUGGGCUGUUCGCCCAUUAAAGCGGCACGCGAGCUGGGUUCAGAACGUCGUGAGACAGUUCGGUCCCUAUCCGUCGCGGGCGUAGGAAAUUUGAGAGGAGCUGUCCUUAGUACGAGAGGACCGGGAUGGACUGACCUCUGGUGUACCAGUUGUUCCGCCAGGAGCACAGCUGGGUAGCUAAGUCGGGAAUGGAUAAACGCUGAAAGCAUCUAAGCGUGAAGCCAACCUCAAGAUGAGAUUUCCCAUAGCGUAAGCUAGUAAGAUCCCUUGAAGAACACAAGGUUGAUAGGUCGGGGGUGUAAGCAUGGUAACAUGUUCAGCUGACCGAUACUAAUAGAUCGAGGGCUUGACCAA